rnacentral:rRNA from 1 species
UACGUAGGGUGCAAGCGUUGUCCGGAAUUAUUGGGCGUAAAGAGCUCGUAGGCGGUCUGUUGCGUCGGCUGUGAAAACUCGGGGCUCAACCCCGAGCCUGCAGUCGAUACGGGCAGACUAGAGUGCUGUAGGGGAGACUGGAAUUCCUGGUGUAGCGGUGAAAUGCGCAGAUAUCAGGAGGAACACCGGUGGCGAAGGCGGGUCUCUGGGCAGUAACUGACGCUGAGGAGCGAAAGCGUGGGGAGCGAACAGG